rnacentral:misc_RNA from 1 species
GUGGUAUGUUGUAUUUAUUUACCACUGACAUUUGUGUUCAACUCCAUUUUAAUACUUUUUUUUAUCGAUCAACUUAACUGUCAUUUGCUUGAAAUUAUUUUUAAAAUGAAGUUUUGAUUUUAGUGCAAUCUCUUAAACAUUUUAUUUUUAGAAUCAAUGUUUAAUGUGUUCAGAUUUUUAUUUUCACUUUUAAUUUUUUUUUUAUAUAAUGGAAAUCAUUUGAACUCGGAUUUCCAAAGAUCUAAAAUUGAAUUUUUAAGGACGACAUAAUAUCAAAAAUACUGAGCUAGUGCCUUAAGUCGUUUCUUUUUUUCAUGGAAGAAAACAUCAGUUUAUAUGAAAUUAAAUAGACAAACAGAAAUGAAAUCAACUGUAAUGAAAGUAAUGUUUGUUUUUAAGAUACAUUUUGAUUAAGGAGGAAAGAAAGUGUUUUCUGUAUUGUUUGUAUGACUACGUUUCCUCGUCAUGCUUUUGUACAUACUUUUCGACUAGUUGUAGAUCAGACCCGAUAUCUGUACAGCUUUCCAUCUGAUCGUUUUUAUUUUUGAUUAGAUCAUCUUGUUUUCAUAUUGUGCCUUGAUGGCAAGAACAACUUGCAUUUUUUUAAAACAAGAUAGUCGUUGAUAUGCUUCUUUACACAGUUAUAUUGUUUAAUUUAUGGAAUUCAAACUUGAUUUAAUCAUAUUGUUAAAAAUGUUGCUUUUUUUAUUCAAGUAUAUAAAAUUGUAUUAAUAUUGUAGAUAUUUGUAUGAAAGACAAAUAAAAACAAUUAAA